CCAGACUCCUACGGGAGGCAGCAGUCGGGAAUAUUGCGCAAUGGAGGAAACUCUGACGCAGUGACGCCGCGUAUAGGAAGAAGGUUUUCGGAUUGUAAACUAUUGUCGUGAGGGAAGAAAUUGACAGUACCUCAGGAGGAAGCCCCGGCUAACUACGUGCCAGCAGCCGCGGUAAUACGUAGGGGGCAAGCGUUAUCCGGAUUUACUGGGUGUAAAGGGAGCGUAGACGGCAGUGCAAGUCUGGAGUGAAAGGCGGGGGCUCAACCCCCGGACUGCUCUGGAAACUGUACGGCUGGAGUGCAGGAGAGGUAAGUGGAAUUCCUAGUGUAGCGGUGAAAUGCGUAGAUAUUAGGAGGAACACCAGUGGCGAAGGCGGCUUACUGGACUGUAACUGACGUUGAGGCUCGAAAGCGUGGGGAGCAAACAGGAUUAGAUACCCGAGUA
rnacentral:rRNA from 1 species